GACGAACGCUGGCGGCGUGCUUAAUACAUGCAAGUCGAGCGAGGUUACUGUUUUGGAUCCCUUCGGGGUGAAGAAGCUUUAACCUAGCGGCGGACGGGUGAGUAACGCGUGGGUAACCUACCCCAAAGUCCGGGAUAACAGCGGGAAACCGCUGCUAAUACCGGAUGCCUUUACCUUGGGGCAUCUUGAGGUAAAGAAAGGUAACGCUUUGGGAUGGGCCCGCGUCCCAUUAGCUAGUUGGUGAGGUAACGGCUCACCAAGGCGACGAUGGGUAGCCGGCCUGAGAGGGUGGACGGCCACACUGGGACUGAGACACAGCCCAGACUCCUACGGGAGGCAGCAGUAGGGAAUAUUGCGCAAUGGACGGAAGUCUGACGCAGCGACGCCGCGUGAGCGAUGAAGGUCUUCGGAUCGUAAAGCUCUGUCCUUGGGGAAGAAGGCGAAAGCUUGACGGUACCCAAGAAGAAAGCCCCGGCUAACUACGUGCCAGCAGCCGCGGUAAUACGUAGGGGGCGAGCGUUGUCCGGAAUUACUGGGCGUAAAGGGUGCGUAGGCGGCCCUUUAAGUCGGAUGUGAAAGCCCGCGGCUUAACCGCGGAAUGGCAUUCGAAACUGGAGGGCUUGAGUGUCGGAGAGGGUAGUGGAAUUCCCAGUGUAGCGGUGAAAUGCGUAGAUAUUGGGAGGAACACCAGUGGCGAAGGCGACUACCUGGACGAUAACUGACGCUGAGGCACGAAAGCUAGGGGAGCAAACAGG
rnacentral:rRNA from 1 species